AGAGAGGUGGCCGAGUGGCUGAAGGCGCACGCUUGGAAAGCGUGUAUAUGGCAACAUAUCGAGGGUUCGAAUCCCUUUCUCUCUACGA
rnacentral:tRNA from 1 species